CUCCAUCAGGCAUCCCAGUCGAGCUUCAACCGACGGAUCCGAACUCUCUGACAAGCCACAACAAGAGCCGUCACCCUGCUCCACUCUCUGCAAUGGAUUCCACGCAGCUCCACCACCCUCUGACAAGCCACAACAAGAGCCGUCAUCCUGCUCCACUCUCUACAAUGGAUUCCACGUGGCUCCACCACUCUCUGGCAAGUCACGACAAUAGACACCACUCCACCCUCCGC
rnacentral:lncRNA from 1 species